rnacentral:rRNA from 1 species
CGUGCCUAAUACAUGCAAGUCGAGCGGACCAAAGGGAAGCUUGCUCCUGGAGGUUAGCGGCGAACGGGUGAGUAACACGUGGGCAACCUGCCUGUAAGACUGGGAUAACGUCGAGAAAUCGGUGCUAAUACCGGAUAAUAAAAAGAACUGCAUGGUUCUUUUUUGAAAGAUGGUUUCGGCUAUCACUUACAGAUGGGCCCGCGGCGCAUUAGCUAGUUGGUGAGGUAACGGCUCACCAAGGCGACGAUGCGUAGCCGACCUGAGAGGGUGAUCGGCCACACUGGGACUGAGACACGGCCCAGACUCCUACGGGAGGCAGCAGUAGGGAAUCUUCCGCAAUGGACGAAAGUCUGACGGAGCAACGCCGCGUGAGUGAUGAAGGUUUUCGGAUCGUAAAACUCUGUUGUUAGGGAAGAACAAGUGCCGUUCGAAAGGGCGGCACCUUGACGGUACCUAACGAGAAAGCCACGGCUAACUACGUG